GUUUGACUAUCCAGAAAGAGUACGCCAUCAUUGGGACAGUGUCCAUCCACUUCUUCUUUGUCUAUACCGUACUGGCCCUAGGCUCCUCUUGUCUGUCGGAUGCUACUAAUGCGUCCAGCCCACAUAAGGAAAAAGAAUGUCGACUCCAAAGUACCUUUCGCAAGGUUUCGUCUCAAUGUAAGAGCCUACAGCAUCCAGAAGCGUCCAUAACAGUCCGUGGGUCACAUCCAGCAACUGUUAACUGUAAUCCUUACCCUCGGUACAAUCGAGCGAUACCAGAUAAUAAUGGCUUUGGGCAAUCCCUGCCCGUUCCUCGUACUAAGCGGUGGAAUUGUUCAGCAGGUGUGCGCGGCGUCAAGCCUGAUAAAGCCCUUUGUUGAGCCUUAGUCUGCGAUAAUUUCCUUAGACUUAAUCACAAGGCGAUAUAUAAAGCAAGAAGGCUCACAUCAACAGGAUAUAUCAGCGCCCAACUCGAAACUCCCGCCACACUUCCACACAAGAAUGGUAUAGCCUGCCUGGGCAACCAAGCUCUUGCCCAGUCUGGCACAUCUCCCUGCACAUCAUGACCAAAUCCUCGUCCUGCUCCGCCUUCUUUAGUGUUUGUCUUUUGUCGGCCAAGAUAAUAUCGCAUAACGUCAUACUCUGCAAAAUACAGAGCUGUUCCUAGCGUGUCGCGAACGAAAUGGAGUCUCCAACCAGUGUACAAGCCGAGUAGGCCAUUGGAAUUAACGAUGAGUUUGACCGCUUGAAGUGUCGUUGGAGGAGUGAAUGAAGGAGCGCGAGGGACACCAGCUGCUUUGGAACCGGAGCCGGCUGUGGCUGCAGAUGGACUGAGGAAGAGCUCGGGGUGGGAAUCACGGUAGAUUUGGUAUUCUAAUUGUCUCCGAACCUUUAAUUCCCCUAUUAGUAAAAUUCCUGUAGAUCAAGAC
rnacentral:sRNA from 1 species